UAAAUUUCUAUGAAGUGCAUUGGAGUGUUUAUCUAUUUUCAAAGACAAAAGCUUAGCUGUAAAUUGUUGUAUGAGUUAGCGUCAAUAUUAUUUAACAAUAUAGUCUCGCUGUUCUCGGAAAGUGCCAAAAACCUUCCGCAAGUAUAAAGAAAACACAACUUCAAUCGAUUGGUUGCGUCUAAUGCAUGUAAAUGAGAUAAAGCGGCCAAGGUUGAGAUUCGAGCAGCGCCAACGGGCAGGUUACAUUGUUUAUCUGGACACGAUAGUGCAAAAGUUCUGUUUUUAUGGAAUUGCCACAAUGACAGCGGAAAACCUAAAAUUCCUGGUAAAAAGGCAGUUAUCAUUCACUGGUUUUACCAACUUUCAGGGGAGCAGGGGAAGAUGUCAUGCAUUCGGGACUGACCAAGAAAGCUUGCUUCCAACUGACCAACAAAUCACGUUGGAUAAUAUAAAGCAUUUCAAGACUAAGUUGAAAGAAGUCGCUACUCUCCCGACUGUUAACGAGAUUCUGGAGACAGCAGAUGGACUUCAACACGAAAGCACCGAGGAACCAGAACAGGUCAAAAAGACAUCAACUUCUAAAAAAGUUCACAUUGCUUUAAUUCCAGACAGAUACGAACCUUUGAUCGAGUCUGUGGGACAAAGUCCGAACGCGGAGAGCAAAGCAGCGAAAAAAUACAAAAGGAAGCAAAAGCUUAAAAAAUGCAAGAAGAGGCUACCACCUACACAAAUGUGAUAGUUGCAUUUUAUGCAAUUCUACUUCUUUCCUCUUUGCCACACUCCUAGAACCUGGAUACCGAAACCCUUGUCAUCAAUUUCCAUUCCGCAAGCUCCGUCUGUGUAUUUCACAAUCGUUUGCUAUUUUUGUCUGCUGAGCAUGAUGUCACUAACAAAUACAUAUUGCCCUCCUUGUAAAGAACAUUUUAAAAGUUCUUCGUGCUGGAUGGAAUUACUUUGUACUUGGUGUUCAAGAAUUUGCAAACAAUUAUACAAUGCCAUACGCAACCUCAUUUACUGUGAUUUCUGAGAUGCGCUGAAGGACUGAGAGAACAUUGAAAGAUUUCACACAUUGUUGAAUUUCUAUGUUAUUGAUGCAAAAUUUUUCAGUCUGUUUGUAACUUUAAAAUAUUAAUUUGUGCUCAACCUGAAUCUGUAUAGUUAUUAUAAAGAUAAAUGAUGGUUUUCUUGCAAGCUAAAGCUGAAGGCUACAGUAGAUGCUAGCAUUAUGAAUCUCCCACACAUGCAUUAUCUUUUUAAUAGGCUAAUCAAUUACCCAAAGGCAAAUAUAUGGCUUUUGUUCAUGAUUGCUGCUGCAAGUAUACUGUACUAUCACAACCUGUAUUCAUAAAUAUUCACUUUCAGAUGUAACCUUGCUCUUAUUCUAAUCACUAUUAAAUUACA